CACUCCUGCGGGAGGCAGCAGUGGGGAAUUUUGGACAAUGGGCGAAAGCCUGAUCCAGCAAUGCCGCGUGAGUGAAGAAGGCCUUCGGGUUGUAAAGCUCUUUUGUCAGGGAAGAAACGGUGAGAGCUAAUAUCUUUUGCUAAUGACGGUACCUGAAGAAUAAGCACCGGCUAACUACGUGCCAGCAGCCGCGGUAAUACGUAGGGUGCAAGCGUUAAUCGGAAUUACUGGGCGUAAAGCGUGCGCAGGCGGUUUUGUAAGUCUGAUGUGAAAUCCCCGGGCUCAACCUGGGAAUUGCAUUGGAGACUGCAAGGCUAGAAUCUGGCAGAGGGGGGUAGAAUUCCACGUGUAGCAGUGAAAUGCGUAGAUAUGUGGAGGAACACCGAUGGCGAAGGCAGCCCCCUGGGUCAAGAUUGACGCUCAUGCACGAAAGCGUGGGGAGCAAACAGGAUUAGAUACCCCUGUAGUCCCAUG
rnacentral:rRNA from 1 species